GCCUCGCUGGAGUAGUGGUUAACUCGUCUGCUUCCCAAAUAGGCCUUGUUUUAUACAAGACUUUAUUCUGUAAGCAGAAAACAAGGGCUCGAACCCCUUGCGAAGCA